rnacentral:lncRNA from 1 species
AUGAGGACAAGCCCGGGACGGUCACGCCCGCUGAGUCUGGCAUCCGGUCCUCUGAGCCGCAGGAUGGCCAAUCCACUGUGGUGCCGAGCAGUCCUGUCCUGUCACAGAUGUCCAUGCCCGGAACGUGGUUACUGGGCCACAGGAGGCUGCCGGGGAUGCUGGGACAAAUGCCCUCAUGUCAUUAUGGGAAGACCCCAGAUGGACCAGUCCUCUAGCUGUGCGCUACAGUCCCCUGUACACGAGAGGAGCAUUGCAAUACCACUAGAGGCGCCCUCUGGUAAAUCCGAAAAGCUUCCAGAGGACAUCUUAAAAGAUGGAGGGAGGUUGGAGUUAGCUCCAGUGCCAAGCUCAGCCAAAGGCCACACUGCUCAUCUUACAAACGACAGAGACCCAGAGAGUGAUUCUGGUCUGCCUGAUCGCUCCUCGGAGCCGAAUCAGCAGCCUCAAGCUGACACAGCAGGAGGCGCUAUGGAGAGCACCGUCACCGUCUCCUCCUCUCCACCCCCAGCUCUGCUCAGGAGAAGAGACUCUCCCUCGUCCCCUAAAUUGAGUCGGAUCCCAGUACGAGACCCCAGCAACCACCCGGACUCUCCGUGCAGGGACCUCAACAUGGAGAGGCGUCAUCGCUGGAGCAGUCCAAUCCCAGGCUCGCCCACCCACUCACCCUCUCCGUCUUUGUCCUGUGACAACCUGCCUUGCGCUUUGCCGAGAGACCGGCUCUUCUCAGAGCGAGGCUCCAGGUCCGACUGUGUUGGAGAAGACCCUCUCUCUCUGUCCUCCUCAUCGGGUAGUAAAAGUAAGAUCCCACGUCCCGUGAGCGGCACCUUUAUACCGGAGCAACUCACUAGCAGGUUUCUGCCUCGACCACCUCCAGGGAAACCACCCAUCCGCCCGUGUGUGGACAACAGAAGACGGCGGUUAAGAGUGCGUGCCAGCAGCACUAGUGACGCAGACUUCCUGGCAAGUCUGACUCAGCUGAUGCAGGACCGAACUGGGAUGCUCUUCAGCCCUCCUCCUCGCCCUCGCAGCUCCUCCUCCUCCCUGCAGCGCUCGCAAAGCUCCUCCCCCUCCCGCCAGGAGCUCCGGGAGGGCGGGGUACUGCAGGGACGCAGCCGCUCUCCAUCUAGCUUCUCCGGCUCCCCUCCUCCUCGGCACCCUCUCCCACAUGACAGGUCCGGAGUGCAGGGUCAGUGGGGCUACAGCUCCAGGGGAAGGGGUCUCCUCCACGAGGCUAAAGGCUCCGGCAAAGUGAGUCGAUGACUGUAAUUGACACACAAGUGACUAAUCGGGAUGGUGCAACUGUAGCGAGAGGCUGUUUCACAUCCAGUCGCUGAUAGCAUGUGUAAAUACGGUAUAUACUCAAGGGAAUGUACUGUAUGUAAUGUAAAAUGUAUAAAAUGUAUUUAUUUAUUUAUUCAUUUGUUGGAUGUGUCUCUUAAACACUUGACGAUGUGGCUUGAUACCUGCAGUUGAAACAAAAAAGGUUGAGAAAACCUUAAGAUUGCCAACUCUUACCUCUCAUUUCACUUCUCUCUUAACUCUCCAUAUAGGCCUAAUAUGAGACCAAAAAGAUAAUGUUUAAUACUUGAGGAUUGUAAAAAUGAUGCUAAUUGUAGAUAUGUACCAUGAGGAAAAUAGUAAACAGUAAUAGAAACUAUGAACUCACGUUAAGAACACUAAUAGUAAAUAACACCACACGCAGUAUACCGACGUCGGCAUUCAUGUACAGAAUCAGGGCAUGCAGCUCCAUGUUGACCUCACUCCUGUAAAACAGCUGGAUUCAUUAUUGUAUGUGACAAUGAAUUGCUCAUUUGGCAUAUCACAGUGUAGUAGUGUGCUUUUACUUUGCUAGAAAAUAUUUGUCAUGCAAAAGGCAUCCGCAUAUUAGAAUGUACAUGUAAGUGCACUCAUACUUUAAGUAUUGUAAAAGUGCAUGAGUAUCAUUGCAAAUGAUUUUAUUUUAUUUUUAUUCAUUUGUACAAUCCGCUACGACAUGUGUAUUUUUAUUGAACUGCUUAUGAUCGAAAAAACAUCAUAAUGUAGACCAGCAACGAUGUGCAAUUUUCUUUCUUACAUCACGUAGAUGGUAAAGGGAGGAAACUGAUAAAAAUGGAACCUGUUCAUCAUGUCUGAUUGUUGUUGCAUUUUAUUUUUAGCACAGUUUUAAAUAUAUAUAUUAUGUUAUAUUAUAUUAAAAUGAGUAAAGUCAGAAGAUAUUCAUUCCUGGCUACAACUGCUGCAAUGUUCGUUGUGAUCAAAGGGUCAGUGCAUUUACAUUCUCUCACAACUUCCUCAUUCACUCCUCGUGGUGUGCAGAUAGUUUUCUUUGGGUUGUGUUACGAUGAAUUAUGUUUUGCGGCACUAAUACCAAUGGAAACGGCAACAACAGUGCCCAAGUAGUCCCAAGCUUAGCAGCACCGUCAGCGCUCAGAUAAAUGGGAAGAAACAGUCAAAGCAGACAGUUAAACCUCGACUAAACGUGCUCAAAUGAUGAAGUAGUGGGUUUUUUUCACACCAGCUCAGACUGCAAUAUGUUCCCAGAGAAUAAUCACUUGUCAAAUUCUCUGGAAGCAGCUGGUUUCUUAGACUGACGUCCCGGUAAGCACAGGAGAGACUGUUGACAAGCUGGUGAUGGUGUCCCAGAUGACACAGUGAAAUGAAGGCUCCCCCAUAUGUUGUGGUUCAUUGACGUUUCAAAUUUAACAGCGCGGUUAAAGAAUGUGUUGAGCUCUUAAUUCUUAAAUAACUGCAAAAUUAAGAAUUAAUUUAACUUUCUUGUUACACCGACUCCACUCUGAAAACUUACCAUCAACCAGGUUUAUCAGUGUUUAUGUACAUGAGGAAGUGGAUGUAUAAGAUAUGAGGGGUGCUGUAAGGCAGGUGCAGGUCGGAUAUGAAUCUUGACUGCUACACAAGAAACAAACUACAAAAAUGGCCGGAUGUUGACACUAUAUCAAGCAACUUAAUUAAAAAACAACCGCCUCCUCCGCCUCCACUUCCACCGCCUCCUCCUUUAAGUUAAAAAUAAAUAAAUAUUAAAUCAAUAUUAUAAUUUAUAACCUCAAGAUACUGUCUCUUUAAGGUAAAAAUAAUUAUAUACUGUAUAUA